rnacentral:rRNA from 1 species
UACGUAGGGUGCAAGCGUUGUCCGGAAUUAUUGGGCGUAAAGAGCUCGUAGGCGGUUUGUUGCGUCGGCUGUGAAAUCCCGAGGCUCAACCUCGGGUCUGCAGUCGAUACGAGCAAACUAGAGUGUUGCAGGGGAGACUGGAAUUCCUGGUGUAGCGGUGAAAUGCGCAGAUAUCAGGAGGAACACCCGGUGGCGAAGGCGGGUCUCUGGGCAACAACUGACGCUGGAGGAGCGAAAGCGUGGGGAGCGAACAGG